rnacentral:rRNA from 1 species
AUUGAACGCUGGCGGCAUGCCUUACACAUGCAAGUCGAACGGUAACAGGUCUUCGGAUGCUGACGAGUGGCGAACGGGUGAGUAAUACAUCGGAACGUGCCUAGUAGUGGGGGAUAACUACUCGAAAGAGUGGCUAACACCGCAUGAGAUCUACGGAUGAAAGCAGGGGAUCGCAAGACCUUGUGCUACUAGAGCGGCCGAUGGCAGAUUAGGUAGUUGGUGGGAUAAAAGCUUACCAAGCCGACGAUCUGUAGCUGGUCUGAGAGGACGAUCAGCCGCACUGGUACUGAGAAACGGCCCAGACUCCUACGGGAGGCAGCAGUGGGGAAUUUUGGACAAUGGGCGCAAGCCUGAUCCAGCAAUGCCGCGUGCAGGAUGAAGGCCUUCGGGUUGUAAACUGCUUUUGUACGGAACGAAAAGCCCCGGGUUAAUACCCUGGGGUCAUGACGGUACCGUAAGAAUAAGCACCGGCUAACUACGUGCCAGCCGCCGCCGUAA